rnacentral:rRNA from 1 species
AUUGAACGCUGGCGGAAUACUUUACACAUGUAAGUCGAACGGCAGCACGGACUUCGGCCUGGUGGCGAGUGGCGAACGGGUGAGUAAUGUAUCGGAACGUGCCCAGUCGUGGGGGAUAACGUAGUGAAAAUUACGCUAAUACCGCAUACGAACUAUGGAUGAAAGCGGGGGAUCGCAAGACCACGCGCGAUUGGAGCGGCCGGUAUCAGAUUAGGUAGUUGGUGGGGUAAAGGCCCACCAAGCCAACUAUCUGUAGCUGGUCUGAGAGGACGACCAGCCACACUGGAACUGAGACACGGUCCAGACUCCUACGGGAGGCAGCAGUGGGGAAUUUUGGACAAUGGGCGAAAGCCUGAUCCAGCCAUUCCGCGUGCAGGAUGAAGGCCCUCGGGUUGUAAACUGCUUUUGUACAGAACGAAAAGGUUUCUACUAAUACUAGGAGCUCAUGACGGUACUGUAAGAAUAAGCACCGGCUAACUACGUGCCAGCCGCCGCAGUAA